rnacentral:rRNA from 1 species
UACGUAGGCAGCGAGCGUUGUUCGGAAUUACUGGGCGUAAAGAGUGUGUAGGCGGUGUUCCAAGUUCGGUGUGAAAUCUCCCGGCUUAACUGGGAGGGUGCGCCGAAAACUGGAAUGCUCGAGCGUGGGAGAGGAAAGCGGAAUUCCUGGUGUAGCGGUGAAAUGCGUAGAUAUCUGGAGGAACACCGGUGGCGAAGGCGGCGUUCUGGACUGCAACUGACACUGAGGAACGAAAGCCAGGGGAGCAAACGGG